CAUGCAAGUCGAACGGUAACAGGAAAUAGCUUGCUAUUUUGCUGACGAGUGGCGCACGGGUGCGUAACGCGUAUACAAUCUACCUUUUGCUGAGGGAUAGCCCAGAGAAAUUUGGAUUAAUACCUCAUGGUAUUAUUGAUAGGCAUCUAUUAAUAAUUAAAGGUUACGGCAAAAGAUGAGUAUGCGUCCCAUUAGCUAGUUGGUGAAGUAACGGUUCACCAAGGCAACGACGGGUAGGGGUCCUGAGAGGGAGAUCCCCCACACUGGUACUGAGACACGGACCAGACUCCUACGGGAGGCAGCAGUGAGGAAUAUUGGACAAUGGGCGAGAGCCUGAUCCAGCCAUGCCGCGUGCAGGAAGACUGCCCUAUGGGUUGUAAACUGCUUUUAUACAGGAAGAAUAAGCCUUACGUGUAAGGUGAUGACGGUACUGUAAGAAUAAGGACCGGCUAACUCCGUGCCAGCAGCCGCGGUAAUACGGAGGGUCCGAGCGUUAUCCGGAAUUAUUGGGUUUAAAGGGUCCGUAGGCGGAUGAUUAAGUCAGGGGUGAAAGUUUGCAGCUCAACUGUAAAAUUGCCUUUGAUACUGGUCAUCUUGAGUUGUAUUGAAGUAGGCGGAAUAUGUAGUGUAGCGGUGAAAUGCAUAGAUAUUACAUAGAACACCAAUUGCGAAGGCAGCUUACUAAGUACUAACUGACGCUGAUGGACGAAAGCGUGGGUAGCGAACAGGAUUAGAUACCCUGGUAGUCCACGCCGUAAAC
rnacentral:rRNA from 1 species